GUCUACGGCCCUGCCACCCUGAACGUGCCCAAUCCCGUCUGAUCUCGGAAGCUAAGCAGGGUCGGGCCUGGUGAAUACUUGGAUGGGAGACCACCUUGGAAUACCAGGUGAUGUAGGCA
rnacentral:rRNA from 1 species